GUAAAAAAGUGCAACCACCUGCCCUCAGGUUUGCUCUGUCUGUGAAGUAGCCAUUCUCUUAUUCCUUUACUUUUCAAAUAAACUUGGCUUCAGUUUAUGAACUUCCCCUGAAUUACUGCUUGUGUGGGAUCCAAGGACCUUCUCUUGGGGUCUGCAUUGAGACCCCUUUCCUGUAACAUCUUUCUGGAGACUGCAGAAGGGACUAUAGUGUGGAAAUCCCCAGCCCAAAGGCUAACUUUGGGUAAGUGGUGGGGUCCAGUAACAUCUUUCUGGCUAACUCUGAAGGGAUGAUACUAAAGAAACCCCCUGACCCAAAGGAAAUAGACUGAUCAGCCGACUUUGGGUAAGUGGUGGGGUACCAGGUAAAGGAUAGGAUCGGGUUAAGAAGCCCAACUUAGGGGAAUUAGAGUCUCUCCUAAGACAGAGUGGGUUAGAGGGCCCUCUUAAUAAAAGACAAGGACGCUUAACUGACCUUGAGUUAGAGGCCCAACUUAGGAAGGUUACAGUCCCUUAUAAGAUUUAGUGGGUUAAAACCCCUCUCAGUAAAGUUCCUCUCAGUAAAGUCCCUUUCAGCUAAGAAUGGCUUUGGCACUACAGGAUGUUAGCUGCUGUUCUCUUUGGAUUAAUCUAUUGUGCACUCUUUGCUGAAGGCUGUGGGUGGCAGGAUUAGGCAUAUACAGGAUCAUGGGACAUGGGGAGCUUUUUCCUCCCUACAAAAGGACACUUCAGAGUUCAUGGGACUGCUGGAAAAGAUCUCUUCUCGACUGAUAAGCAGCCGCCUGAAAUUUUCAGUGUCACUGUGAUUGGAAACAGUUGGGGAAACUGAUUAUUUCACCAAGGCUUUGAUUGGAAUGAUGUGUUUUCCUUCAAGGAAUCAGACUUCACUUGUAAAGCCAAUAAAAGUCUCUUGAGGAACUGGCCUCAGACAUUGUCUACAACAGUCCCUGUACAGCGUUUCUGACCUGUGGUAAGUAAAGAAUGUCACUGUCUAACAGGUCCAGGAGCCCCAAGUUAUCUUGAGAACCCAAAGGAAGAGGAAUUUACUCAAUUCAUAGGUAUUUGAGGGCACAAAGCCAUGGUAGGGCUCAGCACUAAAAAAUCUUACCUGAAAUUCCUUCUAUGUAACAGAGUUCCAUCAGAGACAAUUUAAAAAGAGUUUAUGUGGAAAGUAAUUAUUCUUUUUGCACAUUAUACAAAUAACCAGGCCAAAUAUAAUAAAGCAAAUCAGUCUUACCAUGAUUUGUCUUUAAUAAAAAUGAGAAAACUAUAGACAGAAAUUAUGUUUCAAGAGCUAUGGCACAUUUAUUAUUAAAUUCUACUCUCAUCAGUUGUUUUUAAGCUUGUUUCUCUCAUGUAGGCUAACCCUGCUUGUUGCUGUGAAACAACCGUGAUUUCUGGCUGCUACUCAGAAGAAACAGGAGUGUUGGGCAAUGUAAAAAUCUGAUCAAUAUUCUAAUUCUCGGUACAUUGGACUCAGCUAGCAACCCUAUAUCAGCUUGGUUCCAGGAGUUGUCCAGUUUAUUGAAAGACUUCUAAUUUAAUUUACUUGGCAUAAUUUUACUUAUUUUGCUUUACUGUUGUG
rnacentral:lncRNA from 1 species